UCUCCCUUGCUCUCCUGCCUUUCUGCUAUGUGAGGACACAGCAGUCCUCCUCUCCGUAGGACGCCGCAACAAGGUGACAUCUUAGAACCAGAGGCUAAACCUUGAUCUUGAACUUCUCAACCUCCAGAAAUGUCUUCCACAUGGCGAUCUUGCCCUCAUGAUCUAAUCACUUCCCAAAGGAGGCCCCUCCAUCUAACCUUGGGGUUGUAAAUCCAAGAAAAAAAUUUAAGAACAAUAACUUCUCUGAUCCUCAGCCUCUUCAGCAGUAAGAGCCGAAGACAUAGCAAGUGGAAGAAGCCUUGCCUUUUUGACAUUCUGGGACACCUUUCAAGAACACUCAACCCACACCAGGAUUGUCACACGCUGACAGGGAAAGAUGUGUCACUCCAGACCCAGGCAAGCAAACUUGGCCACAGCUGGGAUAUGUGUCUCGCAUCAAAGCAGAAGCAACUGGUGGUUUUGAGGGUCUUCUGACAGACACCCUCCAAACAUACUGCUCAGAGGUGAGGUAGGAGGUGAUAUGUGACUCUGCAAUCAGGAUUUGGACACCGGACCAAAUUGAGGACUAGCUAAAACAGGGAUGGGGCGGAAGCAGCUUUCUGUAAGACAUGCUCAACAGUGUGCCAUGUCAGUUUACCAUUGCCAUGGCAACACCUGGGCAUUGCCACCCCAUUCCAUGGUAAUGACCUUCUGACCUAGAAGUUACUACCCCUUUCCUAGAAAUUUCUGCAUAAACUUCCCCUUAAUCUGCAUGCAAUUAAAAGUGGGUGUAAUUAUGCCUGUAGAACUGCCUUGAGCUGCUAUUCUCAGCGCACUGCCUGUGGGGUAGCCCUGCUCUCCAGGGGCAGUCACAGAGCUGUAACACUGCCACUUCAAUAAGGCUGUUCUCUUCUACCACUGGCUCACACUUGAAUUCUUUCCUGGACAAAGCAAAGAACUCUCCGGGGGAAGUCCCAAUUUGGGGGGGUCACCUGCCCUGCAUCAGAGGGACAAGAGUGCCUGGCUGGAAGCUCGAGUUCAUUAGACUCCUCCAAUGUUGAUGAAGUCUUAAGCUAUGACUCCCUCUAACAGAGGGUCUCUAAGUUUAAUAAACUUCAAGAUCUCUGUCAACCUUCAGGUAUUCAAUUACCCACUCUGAAAAGGGGAGUUCAGUGCUGUAAUACUUUUUUUUUUUUUUU